rnacentral:lncRNA from 1 species
CGGUGGCGCCCCCGCGGCCUCCUGCGUCUCUUUCUGCCUGAGGCCGCCCGCCUUUGGGAUCUUCCCUCUCGGCUUUGUCCUGCGCCCGGCCUGGCGGGGGGUCUCCCGCCGCCCCAGGACCUGCAGGUUUGGUCCGCCCUCCAACUUUUGAAGACUCGCGUUUAUUUUAGGCAGACUCUGCCCUGUACCUGUUUGUCCAACAGACAACGUUUUUUUUUUUUGUUUUGUUUUUGUUUUUAAUGUUUUACUCUAGGGGAUCAGAACGUUUAAACUUGAAACAUCGGAGGUGACGGCUUCCUGGCGGCGAUAGGGGCACGGUCAACUUAACAUUUCGACCUAAAACAAAACCACUGUGGGCCCAGCUUGAAGGGGUGAUGGAGACGCCGGGAUAAACCUAAUGAGAAGUCAGGCACUUACCUCGUCUUACGUGAUCGGCACUCACGGUUUAAAUUUCUGUCUGGUGUUAAAUGAAAUGCCCAGCAGAGGAGUUGAUUUGAACUCCGUAUGGACUCGGUGUAUAUAUAACAGCGUGUAUUUUUUCAAAGAAAUGGGUGUAAAGAGAACAAAUACAUGGGGAACUUUAACAAUUGCCUGUGUAAACAAGCACUAUUACUGCCCUCAUUUUUUCCAUUCUGCUGGAGAAAACAUAAGAUUGUGUUCUUCAUUACCUACCUGCAGCUGAGGUGUGGCAUCUUUUGCAUGUUCUAACUCUGGUGUACAUUCCAGAUCCUUUAGCAUAAUACCCUUUGGUCAUGGAAAUGACAUCAUCAGGGAGACAACCUUGAAGAAAUGCCUGAAGUGACAGUAGAAAUAUUUUUUCCUGUUAUCUGCUGAAAGUAAAUACUAGAAUUAGAUUAAAAGAACAAAGAUAUAAAAGAUAUGGGGGGAAAUUUAUGUGGAAAGUAUUAGAGGCUGAAAAACUUUCUGUUAUAGGAAAAAUAGAAGAAUCAGAGAAAGGAAUGAUUAUUUGAGCCAUUCAUGGUAGUGGUUAUAACAUGAGAAUUAAGAUUUAGGGAUCAUGACAUUUAAAUUAUAUCUGUAGGAGCUAUUCAUAACACUUACGUAUAACAAAAAAUACAGUUGUAAUUCAGGGUUGGACUAAUAGCCUAUCUAAUGUAAUCUUUGAAAAGUGGCAUGUUGAUCAAAAAUAAUUUCAAAAGAGCCUAC